UACGGAGGGGACUAGCGUUGUUCGGAAUUACUGGGCGUAAAGCGCACGUAGGCGGAUUUGUAAGUCAGGGGUGAAAUCCCGGGGCUCAACCUCGGAACUGCCUUUGAUACUGCAAAUCUCGAGUCCGGAAGAGGUGAGUGGAAUUCCUAGUGUAGAGGUGAAAUUCGUAGAUAUUAGGAAGAACACCAGUGGCGAAGGCGGCUCACUGGUCCGGUUCUGACGCUGAGGCGCGAAAGCGUGGGGAGCGAACAGG
rnacentral:rRNA from 1 species